GUCAAUGGGCGGGAAGUGACAGGGGAGCCGCAAGGCUCGCCGGUGAUGGUUCAACGGUCCGGUCUGCUAACCCUGCUAUUGUUCCCGCCCGCCCCU
rnacentral:antisense_RNA from 1 species